rnacentral:rRNA from 1 species
UACGGGGGGGGGCAAGCGUUGUUCGGAAUUACUGGGCGUAAAGGGCUCGUAGGCGCCAACUAAGUCGGAUGUGAAAUCCCCAAGCUUAACUUGGGAACUGCAUCCGAUACUGGAUGGCUUGAAUCCGGGAGAGGGAUGCAGAAUUCCAGGUGUAGCGGUGGAAUGCGCAGAUAUCAGGAGGAACACCAACGGCGAAGGCAGCUCGCUAGGACGGUACUGACGCUGAGGCGCGAAAGCGUGGGGAUCAAACAGG